UACGAGUACCCCAAGUGUUAUCCGGAAUUAUUGGGCGUAAAGGGUGCGUAGGUGGUCAUGUUAGUCCUUUGUUAAAGACUCCGGCUUAACCGGGGUACUGCGGAGGAUACGGCAUGACUCGAGGAUGCGAGAGGUGUGCGGAACUCAUGGUGUAGGGGUGAAAUCCGUUGAUAUCAUGGGGAACACCAAAUGCGAAGGCAGCACACUGGCGUAUUCCUGACACUCAAGCACGAAAGCGUGGGUAU
rnacentral:rRNA from 1 species